rnacentral:lncRNA from 1 species
CCCCGCCGCUGGGCCCCUCUGUCCCCAGCGUCCCUCCCGCCGGCGGCGGACGCGCGGCACAGCUGCGAACUCGCCCCAGGUCUCCAGGUUUGGAGAUAUUUGCCGGAGCUGCCUUUCCCACACGGUGUCCUUUUCCUGUGCGUUGCAGGGAGGAAGUAACAGCUCCUACCUGCCCCUUUCCGUCCUUAAAAUCGAAGACGACUAGCACCGUGCGCGACUGCCCCGCGUCGCCCCGGCCGUGCUUUCUGCUUCUGCCUGCCUCGGUGCCUUCCUGCGCCUGGGAGGGUGUAUAGUUCGGAUUAGGAAACAGGGUUUUCUGCUGAGGCAUCUGUUUUCAUUCCCGUCUGUGGGCUCGCCCGGCCGUUUUGCACGGCCGCGUGGGGCCAGGCGCGGCCAAAUUUGAGCGUGGUUGUUAUUCCCGGGGCCUGGCGACGUUCGGGGGACGGGGAUUUUUCAUGCGAUAAUGCAAAAGCCGUUCCCCCGCUCAGACAACCUGGAAAACGUUAAUUACAAUUGGUUGUAAAUGUUCCUACUGACACAAAGCCCCGCGUGGGCCGGCGCCGGGGGCAGCAGCUCUCCCUCCUCCCCGGGCAGCCGCCAAAGACCGCGAUCCUGCUCGUACGGUGCCAUGGAAGGGGACCUGAGAGCACGUGGUAAUGACUGAGGGGACAAGAGCAGAUCAGUAGCUAGAAAAUCCUAUUUACUCAGUUUAGUUAACUUUUGGGAAUUUUUGCUUUCUUUUUAUUUGUCUUCUGAGUUUUGAGCCACUGAGUUUUUAAGCAUUUCUCUCCAAACACACAGGAUAGAAACCUUCAUUGUAAUAACCUGGCCAUGGAAGUCUUCACGUUAUAACAUGACUGCAGGAAGUGACGAUUCAGAGGCAGACGAGGAAGCUCGCUAUGUUUGAUGACAUAUCCAGAACCGUUCUGUGCUUGCGCUCGGCCUACCCAACGUUUUUGCCCCUCCUAAAGCCUCUGAGCAACGUUGUCGUAGGGAGUGUUCCCGUCUUUCAAGAGGGGAAAAAAGCCUUGCUGUUCGUUCUUCUGGUUCCCUCUGGCGCCUUAGGAUGGGUGAUGAUACUAAACCAGAGCGAAAGGUCAUUGAACCUGUCCUGGAGAGCUCCUCAGGAUACCAGGAAAAGGAACCGGCACUCCGAGAAACUAUGA